UACGUAGGGCGCAAGCGUUGUCCGGAAUUAUUGGGCGUAAAGAGCUCGUAGGCGGUCUGUCGCGUCGGCUGUGAAAUCCCGAGGCUCAACCUCGGGUCUGCAGUCGAUACGGGCAAACUAGAGUAUUGCAGGGGAGACUGGAAUUCCUGGUGUAGCGGUGAAAUGCGCGGAUAUCAGGAGGAACACCGGUGGCGAAGGCGGGUCUCUGGGCCGAUACUGACGCUGAGGAGCGAAAGCGUGGGGAGCGAACAGG
rnacentral:rRNA from 1 species